CUUCAGUUCUCAUCCUCCUUGACCUUUCAGCAGCGUUUGACACAGUGAACCACAAGACUCUCUUGUCCACCC